AAGACUAUACUUUCAGGGAUCAUUUCUUUAGCUAUUAACUAGGAAAUGUACUAUGCUCGUGUUAAGUUUCCCAAACCACGAUGAUGACUGGUAAUGUAUUCCUCUGAGCGUGAAUCGGGUAGUAGUCUGUAAUAUAUUACGGAUAGCUAUUAUUGAUGACCGUUCAUUAGUUCUUCUCGAACUUAUGAGGAGGAGUACAUGAUCAGAGUGGU